CUGCGCCGAAAAUGUAACGGGGCUAAACACAUUACCGAAAUUGUGGAUCCGACCUUUGGGUCGGGUGAUAGGAGAGCGUUCUAAGGGCGAAGAAGCCAGACCGCAAGGACUGGUGGAGCGCUUAGAAGUGAGAAUGCCGGUAUGAGUAGCGCAAGGUCAGUGAGAAUCUGACCCACCGUAUGACUAAGGUUUCCUGGGGAAGGCUCGUCCUCCCAGGGUUAGUCGGGACCUAAGCUGAGGCCAAGAGGCGUAAGCGAUGGCUAACAGGUGGAGAUUCCUGUACUGGUCAGAUCUGUUUGAGUGAUGGAGGGACGCAGGAGGCUAACGGAGCGUGCAGCUGGAAUUGCACGUCCAAGCAGCGAGUCGCAAAACGAGUGAAAGGCUUGUUUUGGUGGUAGAUGAGCUGUGAUGGGGAGCGAAAUUUAAGUAGCGAAGGAAGUCAGGUCACACUGCCGAGAAAAGCUUCUAGCGAAGAUCUGAUCACCCGUACCGCAAACCGACACAGGUAGUCGAGGAGAGUAUCCUCAGGUGAGCGAGUGAACUCUCGUUAAGGAACUCGGCAAAAUGACCCCGUAACUUCGGGAGAAGGGGUGCUGGUCGACAGACCAGCCGCAGUGAAUAGGCCCAGGCGACUGUUUAUCAAAAACACAGGUUUCUGCAAAAUCGUAAGAUGAUGUAUAGGGGCUGACGCCUGCCCGGUGCUGGAAGGUUAAGAGGAUGAGUCAGCUUCGGCAAAGCUCAAAAUCGAAGCCCCAGUAAACGGCGGCCGUAACUAUAACGGUCCUAAGGUAGCGAAAUUCCUUGUCGGGUAAGUUCCGACCCGCACGAAAGGCGUAACGAUCUGGGCACUGUCUCAACGAGAGACUCGGUGAAAUUAUAAUACCUGUGAAGAUGCAGGUUACCCGCGACAGGACGGAAAGACCCCAUGGAGCUUUACUGUAGCUUGAUAUUGGGUGUUCGUGCAACUUGUACAGGAUAGGUAGGAGCCGUGGAAGACGGGACGCUAGUCUCGUCGGAGGCACAGGUGGGAUACUACCCUCGUUGUAUGAACACUCUAACCCGCACCGGUGAUCCCGGUGGGAGACAGUGUCUGGUUGGCAGUUUGACUGGGGCGGUCGCCUCCCAAAAGGUAACGGAGGCGCCCAAAGGUUCCCUCAGAAUGGUUGGAAAUCAUUCCUAGAGUGUAAAGGCAGAAGGGAGCUUGACUGUGAGACUGACAAGUCGAGCAGGGACGAAAGUCGGGCUUAGUGAUCCGGUGGUUCCGCAUGGAAGGGCCAUCGCUCAACGGAUAAAAGCUACCCUGGGGAUAACAGGCUUAUCUCCCCCAAGAGUCCACAUCGACGGGGAGGUUUGGCACCUCGAUGUCGGCUCAUCGCAUCCUGGGGCUGUAGUCGGUCCCAAGGGUUGGGCUGUUCGCCCAUUAAAGCGGUACGCGAGCUGGGUUCAGAACGUCGUGAGACAGUUCGGUCCCUAUCCGUCGCGGGCGUAGGAAAUUUGCGAGGAUCUGUCCUUAGUACGAGAGGACCGGGAUGGACACACCGCUGGUGUACCAGUUGUCUUGCCCAAGGCAGCGCUGGGUAGCUAAGUGUGGCUGAGAUAAACGCUGAAAGCAUCUAAGUGCGAAACUCACCUCAAGAUUAGAUUUCCCAUUCCUUAAUGGAAGUAAGACCCCUGAAAGAAUAUCAGGUAGAUAGGAUGGAAGUGGAAGUGCCGUGAGGCAUGGAGCGGACCAUUACUAAUCGGUCGAGGACUUGACCCA
rnacentral:ncRNA from 2 species